rnacentral:rRNA from 1 species
GACGAACGCUGGCGGCGUGCCUAACACAUGCAAGUCGAACGGGGUCGUUCUUGGUGGCAACACCUUGGACGGCCUAGUGGCGAACGGGUGAGUAACACGUGAGGAACCUGCCCCGAAGACCGGGAUAACAGAAGGAAACUUCUGCUAAUACCGGAUACCCCCACCGAAUCGCAUGGUUUGGUGAGGAAAUGGAUUCCGCUUCGGGAGGGCCUCGCGGCCUAUCAGCUAGUUGGUGGGGUAACGGCCUACCAAGGCAUCGACGGGUAGCUGGUCUGAGAGGACGAUCAGCCACACUGGGACUGAGACACGGCCCAGACUCCUACGGGAGGCAGCAGUGGGGAAUCUUGCGCAAUGGGCGAAAAGCCUGAACGCAGCAACGCCGCGUGCGGGAUGAAGGCCCUCGGGUUGUAAACCGCUUUCAGCAGGGACGAAGAUGACGGUACCUGCAGAAGAAGCCCCGGCCAACUACGUGCCAGCAGCCGCGG